UCGGAUGUGGUGCACGAAGCACAUCCGCCUUCUCUCCGGAUCAUCGGUUCAGAGUUUAGAGCGGGAAGCCUGGGUUCGACUCCCAGCGUCUGAA